CACAAUCGCGCGACCCGGGUGGGGCGGCGGCCACCGGGUUAGGUAGCCGGGCGCCGGGGGCGUGGAGGGCUGCAGAGUGGAGCCCAGGACAGCUGCGAUCCUGCUCGGGUUGCUUUCCUUCCUCCGUCGCCUUCUCCCUUUGCUCUGCGCUGGCCACACGGUGGGACGCCCGCGGCGACAGAAGUCUGGGCGCCCUUGUCUGAAACCUCCUGGCGAGCCUGACAAGCAGCCGCGGAGAGCAAGAUCCAUGUUCACUUAUUCCCUGGUCUAGGAGUGGAAUUUCUGGGACAUACGAUCCUUAUCCCUUAUGUUAUUACAAAUUGAAUAUAUUGAAUAUAGUUCACUGUGCUAUACAGCUCAGCUCAAGAGCCACCCCCUCCGAGUUGCCUUCUGGGAUUUAUUCAAACCAAAGUAGUCCUUCUCUUUCCUGGGGCUCAGCAGCCUGGACGCAGACGCAGCAGUGUGGAUGAUUGCAUUGAUCCAGACUUGGAAGUUGUGCGGCAGUGACCUAGGACCACAAUAAGGAAAUCUCUUGAAAGAAUAUCCCUGCAUUCUUUGUAAAAUCUACAGGUGUGGUAUCCUCUUGUGAUAUCAAGAUUUGGGGAAAUGUUCUUCAAAUGUCCCCUCGUCCUUGCAUUGACUCUGAUUCUGCAGACUCUUAGAAGAAGUAGAGUUAUCAGCCUGCAAGAGAACGUUCCAGAGAGGAUUGAGCUCACCUUCUGGAGAAUCUAGAGAAGGAUGUUUUACCAUUUCCCUCGCUGUUCUAAAUUUUAGCAGCAACACAUAAGUUCUGCACAGUCUCGGAGUCCCUUGGGAUUACGGACUGCUGGAGGGCAGGAACUAUAUGACUUUCUUUUCUCCUUCAGCUCGCUCUCACAGACCUUUAAAAUCUCAUGUGCUAAAUGACUAAACAAGUGCCCAGACUGCUCUGUGCCAGGAUUCCUGGCGCCUCCAUGCUGGUCAGUGAGCCUGAAGAGGGCAGGGUCCAGCCUCAGGCCUCCAGCUCACUCUCCUCCCGGGAAGAAGACGCCUCUACUCCGAAGGCAGCCAGCACGUAUCUCACUCGCAACAGUCGGCAGAUGGCCUCGGAUCCCUUCUGUUCUCAGGAAUCACAUUGGGACUAACCGCGCUGUGCAUUUUCCAUCGCUGGCAGCCAUCUCAACAGUGACGUCGGGCCUCGUUAUUAAUAGGGGAGGGACAGACCCAGAGAGAGGGGAAGUGGCUUGGGCUGAGUCACACAGCAAAGUUAGAACUGCCAGCUCCCAGCGACUAACCUCGCCCUGGGCUCUAGCCCACACACCUGGCGGCUCCGGAGACUUGCUCCUUUUUGGACUCUGGGCAACAAACUCCCUGGCUAACCAAGCGGGUCUGACUUGUCCUACAGAGCCAAUGAGGCAAAAGCUUCCUGAGAAUGUUAUAUUGUGAUCUUGCUGUUUCUACUGGUUGGCAAGAAACCGACUCCCCAUUCCUUUUCGAAUGACCUUGGACACAUCAUGGAAAGUCUCUGAACCCUCAGUUUUCCCUUCAGGAAAAUGCAGACAAGAAUUCUGGGUGCCUACCCCGCCCCCACCCCAACAGACUGUGGACGAGCUAUAGGGUGAAGAUCGGGGUGCCCUUCUCCGAUCGGGUCUGCAUUUACAUGGGUGAACUUCAAACCUGGCUAAGCAUGGUAAUCACGUGAGUGGCCUUUAAAAAUACAAAUUCCUUAGCACUGAGAACCACAUCUAGUCGCUUAUGAUGGAGAACAAUGGACGAUAAGGUGAGAAAAAGAAUGUACAUAUGUAUGUGUGACUGGGUCACCUUGCUGUGCAGGAGAAGAUUGACAGAACACUGUAAACCAGCUAUAACGGAAAAAAAUCAUUAAAAAGACACUGACUUAAGAAGAUGUAGAUAAUGUGAAUUUUUAUCAAAUAAAGAAAUGGUAUGAAAAUUUUUUUCAAACAAACAAACAAAAAUAUAUAUAUAUAUACACAAGUUCCUUGGCCUUGACCAGCCUGGCUCACUUGGAUUUCUCCUCCUUUCUCCUGGCCACGUGGCCUCCAGCAUGAAGGGAACCCCCUUGGGGUGGUCUUUAACUUUUCCAUUUAAAUCCCCACCGACUCAGCUUAAAGAAACCUUCGCUAGGAGAUGGUGAGCGCGGCACUCUCUGUCUCUCUCUCUUGGACUCACUGUUCCCCCAAUGUUGGCACUUCUCACAUGCUGCUUGUUAUUUUUACUUCACUGUUUCAAAUCUUUGCCUCUUGUUUCCCCCAAUGAGCUCCUGGAGGGUAAAAAACUGUGCCAUACCCUUCUCUUGCCGCACAAGCGCUGGCACUAUCAGGACCUAGUAUCUGUUCAAUAAAUAGUUAUUGAAUGGCAAAUCUGAAA